rnacentral:rRNA from 1 species
GAUCAUGGCUCAGAUUGAACGCUAGCGGCAUGCCUUACACAUGCAAGUCGAACGGUAACAGGUCUUCGGACGCUGACGAGUGGCGAACGGGUGAGUAAUACAUCGGAACGUGCCCCAGUCGUGGGGGGAUAACUACUCGAAAGAGUAGCUAAUACCGCAUACGAUCUGAGGAUGAAAGCGGGGGACCUUCGGGCCUCGCGCGAUUGGAGCGGCCGAUGGCAGAUUAGGUAGUUGGUGGGAUAAAA